rnacentral:rRNA from 2 species
AGGUAAGCUACUAAGAGCGAAUGGUGGAUGCCUUGACUGGUAAAGGCGAUGAAGGACGUACUAGACUGCGAUAAGCUACGGGGAGCUGUCAAGAAGCUUUGAUCCGUAGAUUUCCGAAUGGGGCAACCCAAUGUAUAGAGAUAUACAUUACCUAUAUAGGAGCGAACGAGGGGAAUUGAAACAUCUUAGUACCCUCAGGAAAAGAAAUCAAUAGAGAUUGCGUCAGUAGCGGCGAGCGAAAGCGCAAGAGGGCAAACCCAGUGCUUGCACUGGGGGUUGUAGGACUGCAAUGUGCAAGAGGUAAGUUUAGCAGAACAUUCUGGAAAGUAUAACCAUAGAGGGUGAUAGUCCCGUAUGCGAAAAACAAACCUUAGCUAGCAGUAUCCUGAGUAGGGCGGGACACGAGGAAUCCUGUCUGAAUCCGGGUCGACCACGAUCCAACCCUAAAUACUAAUACCAGAUCGAUAGUGCACAAGUACCGUGAGGGAAAGGUGAAAAGAACUGAGGUGAUCAGAGUGAAAUAGAACCUGAAACCAUU